CUUCUCUCAAGAUUGGGACAUGCUGUGCCCCAAUCCUCCUCUCCUUCCUGAGGAGUCUAACUGAUGAGCAAGUCCCAUGUCUUUCUCCAACCUCACAUACAACAACUCUGAAUUUAUAGUCAUAGUGCACCUUCUAACCACAAAUGCGAUUUCAAACACUACACCUAACCCUAACAUCACCGUAACCACACCCCUAACUCUUCCUGUAAAUCAAGAACAAAAUGGCUCAUGUACUUGCUAAUAGCUUAAUUAAAUACACUUUUAUUUUCCCUAACAUGGCUAUCUAGUGACUCCACUAACUCAACACCAGUGUGCAGCUAAAAUAUGUUUCCUUUCUUUUCUUUUCUCUAGCCAAUGGAGAGUGAUUCAGCAUGGCAUGAAAAAUAACCUCACAUUCGAGCAGCUCUCCAUGCUGUGUCUGAAGAUUGUUAAGGUCGUGACCCAGACAGCCCUCCGCAUUCUUCUACCAGCGCUAGCUCGUAUCAUGGGUGUGGACCUGAGGAGUGGGGCAGCCUCCCCAGAAUCCCAGUGCUCUCUGACAGGGUCUGAGGAUUCCUUAGGCAGUCUGGAUGAGCGAGAGAAAAGGCUGCUGAUCAGUGAGAUGAACUACUGGACUAAGGAGAGGAGGAGGAAUGGCAGUGCAGGGUGCCGCCAAAAAUCCACUCGCAGAACCUCAUCACCAUGCUGGUCGCCUAAGAGUUCCCAGACCUCAUUGCAGAGUUUGCCAGCAACUAGAGAGGCUCCCCUCAUGGAGGAGCCUCUGAAAGCUCUCUUUGGGGUAACGGAAGAGAGCCUCCUGAUAUCCCUGGUUGAGGGUCACUCCAACCCCACCUCCUCCAGCUCUUCCGAGUUGAGCUAUGCUAUCGCGGGGGAGGUAGUACACCAGCUUAACUCUGGCCUCUCAGUGGCCAUUCAGGCCAGCUCAGGGAGUUGCCCCCCUAUGGACAGUCAGGACAUAGCAGCAGGCAAGGAGGUCAUUCGGGUAGCCUCGGUGCAGAUCCUGGCCGAGCUACAGAGCCAAACGUCUGAGCCAGAGUGGGUAGGGUUUAUCGAGCCCCUCAUGGACCCUGUGACCGAUGAUGUGCUGAAUGCCAUUGUCGGCACAAUGGACAAAAUGGCACAGGACUACAACAUCCUAUUGGAUCUGGCCAAGAAGAUGACAAUCUUGGGGUCUAAAUUUCUGACCAAUCUUCAAUGUGACCUUGAUGUUGAGUGUCCAUCUGGGAAAGAAGGGACCACUCACUUUCUCAAAGAGACUGGAUCCUCUAGCAGUGUGGUGUCCAGAAAGCUUCAGACCCUCUCUAGCCCCGACUUUCAGUCUAAAGCCCUCAAGGCGGUGAGCACCAUCCUUACAAGGAAAGUCAGCAGCUCUUCUGGCGUGGCUCCUUCCUCUAGGCCUUCUAGUGCUGCUCCUAGCCUUACUGAAGCUCCCCUGAAUACCAGCUGCACAGCCCUGACAUCUGUAAGCUCCACUGCCACAGUGAUUGUUAAGGCAUUUGUGGGAGGCAUGGAGACGAUAGCAUCAUUUGAAGGCAAAUGUGAAGCAGUUGAUUGGCCAGUUCCUGUAAAUGACCACAAAACAGGGUUUUCGCAGAAGAUAACCUUCUCUCCAGCCCGCACACUCUAUGGCCUUAUACGAGCAAAGCUGAGGGACCUUUUAACUCUAUCCGCUCGAGAAGAAGGUGUGGCUAAGGAUGCUUCUCUUCAGGAGUCUUCAGACACCCUGGAAAAGGCAACUGUUUCAACUGUUGAGGUCCAGUUACCCAGCACCAAACUUAGUAGAGUUCCCAGUGAGAGCCAACCAAUACCAGCUCUCUGUCUCUCCAAUCUGGAUAACAGCACUCAAGAAGUUCUUAGCAGUGUUUUUUCCAUCUACAAGUCAGAGUUAUCAAAAGUGGAGAGUAAAUGCUUGGCCGUUGUCAGUUCAUCUGAUGAGUCCCUAGAUGCUUGUUGGCUUGUUGAUGGUGUCCUAUCAAAGCUUGAUGACUAUACUAUUUCCCAGUCACCCUCACCCAAUGAAGACUUGAGUGUGAGUACUCAAUGUUCUCAACUGAGCUCAGAAGAGAGUGUCAGAAUCACACAGUCCUCUACUAGUCUGAUUCAGAGCAUUAAGAAGCUCUCUAGCAAUGACUUUCAGACUCAGGCAGAAGAGGCAGUGAGUAAAGUGCUGAUGAGAUCCAGUCAUUCCUUUAUCACACAGAUCAGCCAUACUGGUCUUCAGAAAAGUCUGCAGGCUGGCUUAUCAUCUAGCUCGCCAUCAGAGAUUGCCUCCAUGUCCUCUCAGAAUACAGCCCCCGGAUUAGUGGAAACCUUUGUCAAAGGAAUGGCGACUAUUUUCCAGAAAAAUGAGUCCACUGACACUGUGCUCCUGGAAAGAAGUGGGAGAGUUUUGCAGUGCUCCCACGGGGGCUCCCAACUGGAUGAUACUGAAUUGAGUGUUCAAAUAUCAGAAGAGAAGCUUUGGUCAACAGCUAAGACCAUCUGCGUCAAUAUGAAGAACAUACUUAAGGAUUUCUUCACAGGGCUGAAGCCAUCCGGAUCCGAAAGGACAGAAAAUGCUUCUUCCAAAGAGACCCUUGGGGAAAUCCUGGUUGCUAUCCAGAGUGAAAUCUCAAACUUAGGGCGAAUUAAGGAUUCCAGGGAGCUCCUUCAGAUCAACGAUAUGGUAGGAACUAUGCUGAAGGAGGUUGAGAAAAGUGAGGAUGACAGUGAACAAGUCUGCCAAGACAUCCCUAGAACCUGUUCAUCUUUGUCCACUUCUUUAAAGGGU
ensembl:lncRNA